AGUGGCGGACGGGUGAGUAACGCGUGAGAAUCUGCCUUGGGGUCGGGGACAACCACUGGAAACGGUGGCUAAUACCGGAUACGCCUUCGGGUAAAAGAUUUAUUGCCCUAAGAGGAGCUCGCGUCUGAUUAGCUAGUUGGUGAGGUAAGAGCUCACCAAGGCAGCGAUCAGUAGCUGGUCUGAGAGGACGAUCAGCCACACUGGGACUGAGACACGGCCCAGACUCCUACGGGAGGCAGCAGUGGGGAAUUUUCCGCAAUGGGCGAAAGCCUGACGGAGCAAGACCGCGUGAGGGAGGAAGGCUCUUGGGUUGUAAACCUCUUUUCUCAGGGAAGAAGCUCUGACGGUACCUGAGGAAUCAGCCUCGGCUAACUCCGUGCCAGCAGCCGCGGUAAUACGGAGGAGGCAAGCGUUAUCCGGAAUUAUUGGGCGUAAAGCGUCUGCAGGUGGCGAUUCAAGUCUGCUGUCAAAGCACGGGGCUCAACUCCGUAAAGGCAGUGGAAACUGAAUAGCUAGAGUGCCGUAGGGGUAGAGGGAAUUCCCGGUGUAGCGGUGAAAUGCGUAGAGAUCGGGAAGAACAUCGGUGGCGAAAGCGCUCUACUGGACGGCAACUGACACUCAGGGACGAAAGCUAGGGGAGCGAAUGGGAUUAGAUACCCC
rnacentral:rRNA from 1 species